AGGUUCUUUCUGUGACCUGUUUUCAUGGUGUUGAGAAUAAAACUUGGGGGUCUAAUACAGCUAAUAUGAAGGUUAGCAUCACAGUUUUUCCGUUAAGGAUUGAGGCAGGGAAUGGACAUUGGAGCUGACUUUUAUGGUAACUUUAACUGUGGCUGCACAAAAUGAUUGGGUGAUAUAACUGUAGCAGUAAAGAAUGUAAUUCAGACAAUUUUGUGUAUGUUUGAGAAAAUGUUUAUAAUUGUUUACGAACAAACAAAAAAUAGUGUAAAGAUUCUCCAUUUUCAACAAGAUUGGAAGUUAUAAUUUUAAUUUUAAAAAUCUCUCUGUACCAUUUAAACCAAAGGAUAUAUUCAGGUAGCUCUACUUAUGUCCAUUAUUGUCUUGACAAUUUUUUUGUUAUGCAUAUGGUUACUGAACUGGUUUUUGACAUGUAGUUUUGUUUUGAGUUCAUAGUUCAGAUUGUAUUCAUUAUUUUUCCCCCUGUGACUAGAUUUGAUUGACCAAUUUUAUUUGAAGACCUACUCCUUUAGAUAUAUUAAUAAUGGUCUGUAUAGUCAAAACACUUCCAGAAGUUAAGAAUGGAGAAUCUAAAAAAAAAAAGAAUUAAAAGAAAAAAAUGAUUUUUUAAUGAAAUGUAUUUUUUGGGUUUCACCAUUGUUAUACAUUGUACAUGUAUCUUUUCAAACAUUUUGUUUUUUAUGCCCCUGCCGUAGGCAAUUGAGGCAUGAAGUUUUACCCAUGAUAUCCUGUUGUCCAUCUUUCUGUCUGUCUGUCCCAUUUUUGUUUCAGCACUCUUAACUUAAGGUUUGCCUAGUGCAAAUUUUAUGAAACUCGUACACAAUACUAAGAAUCAAAACUUGCAGACAGAGUUCAAAUUUGGGCAGCGAGUCAUUUACCUUUCAAGAAACACAGCCACUAUGGCUAAAAUGGAACAUAUGGGUAAAAUGCAUUUUUUUGCUUUUGAAGAAAAUAUGACAGAUACAAAGAACAUUUAAAUGGCAUUAAGCCACUUAUUAAUAUAUAUUGAAAAUCAAAAAUAAUCAUUGAUGAAAGAUUUAAGCAAAAAAUUACAGGUGAGCGAUUCAGACUCUCGAGAGCAUCUUGUUUAAUUUCAAUUAUAUUUUUGGGGAUUUUUGUUAAAUAUAGAAGGAAUGUGGAGUUCUAACAGGCUGAAAUUUAGGGAAAAGGGAGGUAAUGACCCUGUUAAACUCAUCCUACUCUUAAUUUCCUCAGUGAUAAGGAAUAUAUAUUAUUAUUUACUUAGUAUUUUUUUAAGAUAUCAGAUGUGUACUAGCUAAAAGGCUAUUAUUUAGAGCUUUUUAAAUAAAAUAUGUAAGCAGAGGUCUAGAGAAUAGAUAUGCAGGGUGGGAGAAAUCAUUGGUCAAUACAAGUGAUUAGGUAAAAUUUUCAACGUCACCAUCAGGAGAAAUUAUAAAUAGAGUGAAAGUAGUUAUAAAACUAAACACGAUCAAGGAUGUUGAAUAAUUUUUGCAAAUUUAGACGACACUUGACUUGCAAUUCCGUACCAUUUAGACACUGGAAGUUGUACAUCUGUCUUGAGCGAAGCCAAUUGGAGGCAGUACCUCUAAGUGAAGCUAAUUGGAAGCAGUACCCUCUGUCCUUGCGAAGCCAAAUGGAAGCAGUAUCUCUGUUGAGUGAAGCCUAUUGGAAGCAGUACCUCUGGCUGAGUGAAGCCAAUUAGAAGCAGUACCUCUGAGUGAAGCCAAUUGGAAGCAGUACCUCGGGCUUAGCAAAGCCGAUUAGAAGCAGUACCUCUAGCUGAGUGAAGCCAAUUGAAAGCAGUUCCUUUGAAAAAUUAAUUAAACUCUAAUAAACAAAUUUUAUUUAACAUUCUUUUUAAAGUCUUCUUUUAUACUUACUUUCAUUUUUCUAUUUAUUAUUACUCCCCCUGUUGACAUUAUGAUGUGCAAAUUAUCACUUCAAGAUUUAUUACUCUUCUGUAGUUUAUAUCCUGAUGAAGGUACUCUAGCUAGGAACUGAAACAUGCCUAUCUCUUUAAAUUACUGCAGCAAUCCCUUAAGUAUUGUUAUAAAGACUUUUAAAUUACAAUUAUUAUAAAAGAAUCUUUCAAAGACCCUUCAAAUAAAAAUAAUUUUAGUUUAUGCGGUAUAUAUGUGGCGAUAAUUUAAUUUACUGUACAUUUCACACAAUGUAACUUUAAAUGUAAAAUACAAUGAAGUACUUUUUUUGGAUUCAUUGUUAAAAGUUGGGCUAGAAUCAUUGGUUCUUGGGUUUAUAAAUUCAUAAGUAAAGACUGCAGUCAUAUCAGUUUGUUAAUAAACAUAAUCAUGAUAUCCUUGAAAUAAAAGUACUUAUGGCACCAAAUAGAUUUUACUAGAAACAUGUGAUGAAUAAAGGCAACAGAAGUAGUGAAAUGAAAUAGUUUUAAAAAAAAUAAAAAAUAAGGGUUUCCAUUUUCAUUUAAACUGGAGUGAGUUAUAUGUUGUUUUCCAUUUGUUUGAUGUAUAAUUUGAGCUUUUGAUUUUGCCAUUUGAUGAUGGACUUUCCGUUUUGAAUAUUCCUUUGGGUUUUGUAUAUUUGUUAAUUUUCACUUUUAAUAAACAAUUCCAUUGACAAACCACUCAUGCUUUGCAAAUGUCAACAAUUUUUGUAAAUUUGGGGAAAAAAAUCACAAAAUUUUGAGUAACUUUUUCAUAUAUUUUUGAUAGCAUUCACUUUCUACCCAACAUUCGUAGUGUCAAUUUUCUUUUUACAUGUUUAAAAUACAUGUAAUAUGUCUUGCUUUAAUUCAUAUUUUUGCAUAUGAUCAAUUGUUUUGUUUUGAAUAAUUAUUCAUUUUUUUAUACUGUCUUUAAGUAUAAUUCCUGAGACGGUCUUUAGAGCAUUGGUCUUUGGACACAGGUUUCCAACUUUUUCCCGCUACAAAUUCAGUUUUUAAAGAAGUUUGACAGAGUUCACUGGUUUUAGUUGGUUGUUCCUGGCCGGCAGGAUUGUCGAUGAUAGAUUUUUUUGUCAUUAUUUAGUAUUUAACUUGAAACAGCAUACAUUAACAUUUCAUCAAUUAUAAUUUUUAUGAUUUCCUUUUAUGUAUAUAUGCUUUAAUGAUUUGUAUUAAUGUAUAUUGUUUUAAUAAUUAUUAAAAACAGACUAGCUGUCUGGGUUAUCAGCAAUAUGAA